CGAACGGGUGAGUAAUGCGUGACCAACCUGCCCCAUGCUCCAGAAUAGCUCUUGGAAACGGGUGGUAAUGCUGGAUGCUCCAACUUGACGCAUGUCUUGUUGGGAAAGUGUUUAGUGGCAUGGGAUGGGGUCGCGUCCUAUCAGCUUGUAGGCGGGGUAAUGGCCCACCUAGGCUUCGACGGGUAGCCGGCCUGAGAGGGCGGACGGCCACAUUGGGACUGAGAUACGGCCCAGACUCCUACGGGAGGCAGCAGNU
rnacentral:rRNA from 1 species